rnacentral:pre_miRNA from 1 species
GUCAACAUCACUGUUCUCUUCCUCUAACACAACCGCCAGAAUUCUGACAAAAUGAGUUUGGGAAAGGGAUUCGAGCUCCGAAGGUUGUGAAUGUUGUGUUGUAAAGGGAACAGAAUAGUGAUAUUGAU